rnacentral:rRNA from 1 species
AACCUGCCCAAGAGAUCGGGAUAACACCUGGAAACAGAUGCUAAUACCGGAUAACAACAGAUGAUGCCUAUCAACUGUUUAAAAGAUGGUUCUGCUAUCACUCUUGGAUGGACCUGCGGUGCAUUAGCUAGUUGGUAGGGUAACGGCCACCAAGGCGAUGAUGCAUAGCCGAGUUGAGAGACUGAUGGCCACAUUGGGACUGAGACACGGCCCAAACUCCUACGGGAGGCAGCAGC